ensembl:ncRNA C47E8.13 ncRNA
AUUCUACCGUUUCCCCCUGUUUUGUAGAGAAAAACAUUUAAAAUUCAAUUCAGAUCCUCAUUAUCAUCGUCAGUUUAUAAAAGGAUGAGGAGG